rnacentral:pre_miRNA from 1 species
AAAGGGUGGAGCAAUGAUUGUGAGUGAGCUGAAUGAUAAAUGAAAAUAAUAUUUUCAUUUAUCAUUCAGCUCACUCACAAUCAUUGCUCCACCCUUUUU